rnacentral:rRNA from 1 species
UACGGAGGGUGCAAGCGUUAUCCGGAUUUACUGGGGGUAAAGGGCGCGUAGGCGGUCAGCACAAGUCAGUUGUGAAAUCUCCGGGCUUAACUCGGAAAGGUCAACUGAUACUGUGCGACUAGAGUGCAGAAGGGGCAACUGGAAUUCUCGGUGUAGCGGUGAAAUGCGUAGAUAUCGAGAGGAACACCUGCGGCGAAGGCGGGUUGCUGGGCUGACACUGACGCUGAUGCGCGAAAGCCAGGGGAGCGAACGGG